UAAGGAGCGCAAUGGCCUUUCUUUGGCAGC
rnacentral:piRNA from 1 species